rnacentral:rRNA from 1 species
GAUGAACGCUGGCGGCGUGCCUAACACAUGCAAGUCGAGCGAACGGACCAGAAGCUUGCUCUUCUGAUGUUAGCGGCGGACGGGUGAGUAACACGUGGAUAACCUACCUAUAAGACUGGGAUAACUUCGGGAAACCGGAGCUAAUACCGAAUAAUAUUUUGAACCGCAUGGUUCAAAAGCGAAAGACGGUCUUGCUGUCAGUAAUAGAUGGAUCCGCCCUGCAUUAGCUAGUGGGUAAGGUAACGGCUUACCAAGGCAACGAUGCAUAGCCGACCUGAGAGGGUGAUCGGCCACCUUGGAACUGAGACACGGUCCAGACUCCUACGGGAGGAAGCAGUAGGGAAUCUUCCGCGAAGGGCGAGAGCCUGACGGAGCAACGCCGCGUGAGGGAUGAAGGUCUUCGGAUCGUAAAACUCUGUUAUUAGGGAAGAACAUAUGUGUAAGUAACUGUGCACAUCUUGACGGUACCUAAUCAGAAAGCCACGGCUAACUACGUG